rnacentral:misc_RNA from 1 species
AAUUCUCAACCAUGUCUACUUUGGACAUGGCUUGGAGUUGGGGGGUCUGCUGGCCCAUGCAUGGGUCAGCUCUCCUGAAAUGCAUUAGCAAAAUGGCAGACAUGCACGGCCUUUCGACGUGAUAAUGAUCGUCGUGGCUGGAGUGUCAGAUCGCCCACGUUGCUUCUAAUCGAUGUCCUUUUCGACAACGCGACG